ACGAACGCUGGCGGCGUGCCUAAUACCUGCAAGUCGAACGCUUCUUUCCUCCCGAGUGCUUGCACUCAAUUGGAAAGAGGAGUGGCGGACGGGUGAGUAACACGUGGGUAACCUACCCAUCAGAGGGGGAUAACACUUGGAAACAGGUGCUAAUACCGCAUAACAGUUUAUGCCGCAUGGCAUAAGAGUGAAAGGCGCUUUCGGGUGUCGCUGAUGGAUGGACCCGCGGUGCAUUAGCUAGUUGGUGAGGUAACGGCUCACCAAGGCCACGAUGCAUAGCCGACCUGAGAGGGUGAUCGGCCACACUGGGACUGAGACACGGCCCAGACUCCUACGGGAGGCAGCAGUAGGGAAUCUUCGGCAAUGGACGGAAGUCUGACCGAGCAACGCCGCGUGAGUGAAGAAGGUUUUCGGAUCGUAAAACUCUGUUGUUAGAGAAGAACAAGGACGUUAGUAACUGAACGUCCCCUGACGGUAUCUAACCAGAAAGCCACGGCUAACUACGUG
rnacentral:rRNA from 1 species